rnacentral:rRNA from 1 species
UACGGAGGGGGCUAGCGUUGUUCGGAAUUACUGGGCGUAAAGCGCGCGCAGGCGGUUUUUCAAGUCAGUGGUGAAAGCCCGGAGCUCAACUCCGGAACUGCCAUUGAAACUGUAAAACUUGAGGACGAGAGAGGUGAGUGGAAUUCCCAGUGUAGAGGUGAAAUUCGUAGAUAUUGGGAAGAACACCGGUGGCGAAGGCGGCUCACUGGCUCGUAUCUGACGCUCAGGCGCGACAGCGUGGGGAUCAAACAGG